CAGCCGCCGCGGUAAUACAGAGGGUGCGAGCGUUAAUCGGAUUUACUGGGCGUAAAGCGUGCGUAGGCGGCUUCUUAAGUCGGAUGUGAAAUCCCUGAGCUUAACUUAGGAAUUGCAUUCGAUACUGGGAAGCUAGAGUAUGGGAGAGGAUGGUAGAAUUCCAGGUGUAGCGGUGAAAUGCGUAGAGAUCUGGAGGAAUACCGAUGGCGAAGGCAGCCAUCUGGCCUAAUACUGACGCUGAGGUACGAAAGCAUGGGGAGCAAACAGGAUUAGAUACCCCAGUAGUCCCUGUCUUUAUACA
rnacentral:rRNA from 1 species